UGCAGAUAUGACAUGGGCUUUGUUGGCUCCAUCCAUCUGUUCUUCAUUAUUCAUAUACUUACAUAGUGCAACAUUUUGAUAAUUUUUUUAAAUGCUGCCUUACAGAAGCUAAGAUCUAUAGAAGAAACUUUUUAAGGGGACAAUGCUCUUCCCAGAAGCCAUAGAUCACCAAUAAAAGACCCAGUGCCAGAUGUGGGAUACCUCACCUCAAGUUGUUUGGUCAGGGCUGGCUGUCCCCAAGAGCACCAAAACAAUACAUGCUGUUAUCAUUGCUGUGCCCGUCUACCAGAACUUGAUGAUUAGCGCGGCGCUCUCGUAUAUACUUACAGAUGUUCCUUUGUGCGGCGCAUGGUGGUUAACACAGAAACUCCCAACUGUUCCAAGAGCAGAGAAAGAGUGACACCAUAGGGAGGAGACAAGGACAUCACAAUGGACAGAGUUCAAGAGGUGGGCACUGGGCAGAAAGGAAGAAAUCAGGAUUUAGAUGUUCCACACC